UCUUUUGAUACUUUGGGAUAGAAUUUGUAUUAACUGAAGUUUUGAAGUCAUUUAGAAUGCCACAUGACCAACAUGGGGUCACCAAGUGGAACGGGGAAGAGAUGUGCACAAUGGCCUCUCUCCAGCUUGUGUGAGCCGGCUCCAACACACAUCCUGUGGAGCAAGAGUUUGGUUGAAAUUUUUAAAAAAUGAAAUAGAACCACAAAGAAAAUAUCAGAACACUUAGUAAAGAACAAGGGGGAGUCUCCCUGCACAAGUUCUCUCUCUUUGCCUGCUGCCAUCCACGUAAGAUGUGACUUGCUCCUCCUUGCCUUCCACCAUGAUUGUGAGGCUUCCCCAGCCAUGUGGAACUAAUGAGGCAGAAGUUACACUGUGCCAGUUUGGGCCCAGCUCUUCACAGGCCUGGCAGCUUCCACUUUUGCUCUCUUAAAAUCCAGCUUUCCUGCUGAAGAGGCUGCGUGGAGAAGAAUCCUGGAAAAUGACAGGGCACCUUGAACAUUCAAGCCCUAGGUAAGCAGUCAGCUGAGUGCAACCACAUGAAGGAUUGUAGCUGACACCACCUAGCGCUGAGAAGAACUGGCCCUGCUGAGCCCUGACCAAAUUGUAGAAUUGUGAGCAAACACACGGUGGCUUUAAGCCACAAAGUUUGAGGGUGGUUUCUUUUGCAAUAAUAAAUAUUUGCUCUACUAUACA
rnacentral:sRNA from 1 species